UGCCUGCUAGGAAUGGGGUAAUGACCUGCUGCCACUCGAGAUAGCUGUCAUUCCAAUGCUGCCCAGAACCACAGUGUUUAUUACCUCACAUUAAUUGAAACGUAGCUCUCAGCAACCCUUAGUAACACGCCCAAUGGUGGUGUGAAAGCGUUUGUUUCCAGAAGAGAUCCUGGUAACCAAUGAGGCUGAGGAGUGGUGCCUGACCUUUGGGCAUUGGUGCUCAGCCUGGCUGGCUGCCUGGCUGGGGGAGGAAGGGAAAGUUCUUCCUUGUAAACGCCAAUUUCAUGUCAGUGCCUUCUGUUAGCAUUUAGUUUGUUUAGCUCGGAACGUGCAGCUCCAAAGCUCCCUUUGGCUCCUUUUCCCUAUGACACUCGCAGCUCAGAAUCAACACGUGACUUCCAUUUCAUAGAUAAUGCAGCUGCUGCAUUUCCAAGUCUGCCUGACUCCCAGAUUUCCCCUUGUUUAACCUCGGGACUGCCUUGGGAUUUUCCUCAAGGCUGCCAAAGUCAGCUUCUCCUCCUCCUCUUCAGAACUUCCUCAGCACCACUGCUUAGGGGCAGAACCUCUCACUGGAUGCAACCCACAUGCUGCAGCUGUGCUUCCCGACGGCUGCAGAGGGAGGAGCACAGCGCUGAUAUGAGAAGAGGCUUGAAUGGACACCUUCCUGCAUAUCUCACUACGUCUAUGGUCCUUUGGAUUUUGCAAGUUGGAGAUUUGAUGUGUGGCAGCAAUAGCAACUACACUGUGAAGCUGCAAGAGUGUGAUUCUCAAAAAAGGAAAACUGAAGGAAGACAUUCAAGUAUUAGAUUUAGAAGCAUCCUGCCUUUCGGAUAAAUCACAUCUCUCCAAGUACAGCAGUGCUGGAAAAAGAGCCCUUAGAUGACCCACUUGGAGUCUGAGACACCAAAGAUGCUACUUCAGAAAAGAAAGCAGAGGAAGUCACCAGAAGCCACGUGGAAGAAACACAUCUGGAGCAAACUUCUGGAAACUGAGUAGGCAGACCACUGCACUGCUUUUGGAAGAAUAUUCAUGGAAUGAGGGACUGGAGAAAUCAAAGUAGUUCAUUGAAAAGAGUAAGCAAAGGGAACGCUUGCUGUGGAUGGCACUGCUGCUUUGCACAUCCUAAGGCUUGAAGACUCAAGCUGCAUGAGGACAGGCAGGAGCAGCUCUCUUCUCACUGGCCAUUUGCCAUGACAUGGGAAUGAACAUUGUGCAACCAGUGACCUAGAGCUACAGCAUCCCCACCUUGAGCAGUGGGCAAUGGCAGAGCAAGGCUGGGCAAACCAAGAGGAGCGGAGACCAGCUGCAGGGAGAUGCAGCAAGGCAGCACGACAGUUCACCCACCUUCAGCUUUCAUCCUGUUGCAGAGCUGGCAGGUGUUAUCCUGGUUGCCAGUCUUCCUGUCCAGUUGUACAUCCUCCAUCCUGAAAAAGUCUUCUUUAGGCCCUCAAAGUAUGUUUGGUUGGCUUUCCUUCCUCAGGAUGGUAAACUUCAAAACCCAGUCUUUGCAGAAUGAAAUACUUGGGUUCUCAAGACUGUACACAUAGAAAUCCUGGGAAAAGUGUAUUGGAUGGUUUUGGAGCAAUGCCGUUUCAUGUAAUAACAAUUCUUUGAAGAAGUUACCUUUUGUAUGGUAAAUACAUGCAUCAUAAGUCAAUGAGGACAUACAAGAAACACUAGUUGUUUAUAGGCCUAAUACGAAUAGUCAUCGUUAUCAAAAUUACAGAAUAGGGAAGAAGACAAAAACCAAAUAUUUUAGACAUAGCGGUAAUCAGCUGCUUAUAAUAGAAAUAUUUUUAUUUAUUCUACGUGGUGAUAUUCCAUUAUUUCAGUUUAGCAGAGUUCCAUGUCAUAUAUGGUUUUCUUAGGAUUUAUCAAAAGAUCAAGAACCAGACUUGUAGAAAAGCAGCCAAGUUGAGUGUAGCACUGCUGAGAAGCAACACUGUCCUUGGUGACAUGUCCACAUGAGCUAGAAGUCAGUGUGAGCCAGAAGUCACGUGGAAUUACAGAGCAACACUAUACCUAGUAUUAUUAUUCAGAUAUUAUGCUGUCUGCAGUUCAUAGAUACUGAAAGAAUUUUAGGACAGGCAUAGUCAAAUUUCCCGAGGAUAAGACCAGGAGCCAAAAAUUUCAACCCUAACAGGGACUUGCUUUGGGCAAAAUAUCCAGUCUCAUUUCAUGCUGUCCGUAAAAGAGAACUAAUAUAUGCGUCUCCUGAGAUGUUGUAAAAUUAAUUAUUAUUUUUUUAAGGUAUAAAUUGCAUUGAAUAUGGAGAGGUGCAGGUUUAUACACAAUAGCUUUGCAAUUGCGCUACACAUAGAGCAGACCCUGCCUCUCCUCAGCAGGGGACAGACAGCUUGGAACUCAGCAAGUACUCUAUCCAGCUAGAACAAAUACAAUUUUGCAGUCCAUUGAUUUCCAUUUACAACGCCAAGUUUUAUUUGAUUUAUUUUUUUAAUAUCCGUGUGCCACAAGACUUUUUUUUUUUUCCCCCUUUUUAAAUGAAGUACCACUGUCACAUGGGCCUCAUUAGCCUAGCAGUAUUUUGGAUAAGUUAAGAUAAAGGAUCAGAAGACAAACAAAACCUGACCAUUUACGACAUCUCUAAUGAUACAGCCCAAAAUUUACUUCUACUUGUUUAAGACAUAUGUGAGUGAAUGUACGAUUUCUGAGCAUAUCAAGUGACCACAUACCUUCAUGGACUACACAGAGGCGUCCCACACAUAUGCAGUAAGGACAGAUAAAACAUCAGUACUAUAAGUGUAAUUUAAUGACUUAGGAAAUAAUGAUAAAAUACACACUAAGCAAAGCUGUUUCUGGUAAGAUAAACAUGAUACAUAGGGGUGACAAGCAUAAUUUCACCUACCAGUGAUUAAAUAUGGGAAAACUUGCAUUGCCACAGCUCACGGCUUGCGCCGGCUAGAGUGUAUGGGUGGAUGGGAGAUUGGGCUGUCAGGCUGUCAACUUCCAUGAGCACCAGCUCCUCGGUGAAAGGGAGAUGGCCAUUUUCCCAACACUGUCUCCAGCUUCUUUCUUUACAGCCAGUCAAGUCCAAUGACAUCAAAUAUUAAUCUGGCACACAACUUGGGCUGUCCAAAUGCAUUGUAUAACCAACAGCAUAUCAAAUCCUUGGGACCUGAUGACAAUCACUCCUUUGUUGUCACUCCCUUCAGUCACUUUAACCCAAAUUCUCAAAGGAAAGAUUGGUGCUUCAGAGGAGUGAUUACAGCAAAAGUGCUUCAAAACGUGAAAGAAGGGAGGGCAGAGCUGCAACUCAUCACAAAAGAUCCUACCAUAAAAUCUAGAGAAUGAACAAGAAGCCUUAGAUGAUCUCACAGCAAGAGACUGUUAUUUUGUGCAGAGGCAGAAUUUCUCUGCAAGGUCAGAAUUCGGAGCAUCUUAGCUCUGGUAUUUGGGCUUGCAGCUCAGAGUUCUCUGUACACGACUACAGCCAGUAGUCUGACCCUAAAUUAUUCAAAGGAACCCAGGGAAUAAAAUAUAGGCUAAAGAAUUCUUCUGAAUAACUUGAACCAAAAUCUGAAGCACAUUAGCUGGAAGAUCCAGAGAAAUAGCAUGAAGGAAAUUUCUUUAUAGUCUUGGAGGAAAAUGUGUGAACUCAAUUUAGUAAUUUACCUAGCUCAGCUGAAGAAAGAGGAAGUAUCUACACUGUGCUGGCACCACCACUGACCUUAUCAUGUGUGGAAUCAGGUAAGAACUAAAAGAGGGUUUUAAGUGUUCAGAGGGGUUCUGUCCUGGAGGUGUUGUUUGUGUUGUUUGGGGUUUUUUUCCACAUUGUGUUUCUGAGUGGGGUGGAGUGGGAGAAAGGAUCAGUGUGAUUCCUUGCAGAGUCCCCAUUAAAUGAUGCUGAGAGGCAUAAGCUACCUCAGUUAUGGAAAACUGCAUAUCAAGGGUGGUUUCUUGAAGAGACCAGCAUGCGUAUGUACCAGCCCUCAGAAAGCUGGUAAGAGCUCUUGCAUCAGAGUUUGAGCUGUUCAUUUUUAAGAACAAACAGUUGACAAAUAAAGAAAAAACAGACCCAGGCGUGUGGUUAAGUGAGUGUGACGUUGCACAGAAAGCUACUUCUUUGGCACUGGAGUGCAAAAUCCAAAUGCAGUGCUAAAGCUUAAAAGUAAUUACUGUCUGGAAGGCCUGGUAAUCUUGUGUCUGCUCCUGCAAGUGCACACACACAGGCCAUCUUAGCAGCUGAUUCCCUUUGAGCACAAGGAGAGAACAGGCACAGGGACAGUAACAGGCUUGAGAAGGACAGCCUAUCUCAAACCUUUGUGUCUACAUCACAGAGGUUUGCAGUAUAGUAGGCUAUGCAGCAGUUGUUCUGCAAUGGCGAGCUCUGGUCUAGUGCUGUCAGUCUCCCACCCACUGCUCACGAACACCUACAUUCCCUUCAAAAAUAAAAUCGUAACAGCUCUGAAUACAAAUGUGCGAAAGUUUUACUAUUUAAAGGGAUCUUCUGUAUAAACUAUGUCAAAUGGAGCCCUUUCUAGAAUGGCACCCAAGAUGACUCUUUCUGCAGAUGCUGAUUUCUGCAGAUGGACUACUUUUUAGGCAAAAGCACCUCUGAAAGAUGGGAAAGGAAUGGAAACAGCACGAGUUUCCAACUGGAAAGUCCAACGGUAACCUGGAAUAAUUACAGCUUGAGGCCCCAGCAGGAGGGGAGCAGUGUGGGCAAACACCACAUGCCUUAGCAGCACAGCUCUUCCCGCCAGCCCCUACUUUCAAAGAAGUGUGACUGUGAAAUAUCCCUCGUUGUUGAGGUGCAGGGAUGAAGAUGGUGGAGGCAGAUAGCGCAGGUAACACAUUGGGUCUGCUCUGCCCCUGCAGAGGCUCAGAUGUGCCCUCAGCCUUUCUGCUCUUCCAUCUGUAUUAGCUAAUUUUGUAUAGUGCACGCUCAGCCUCCUGAAGAUGUUUGAUGCCUUCCACUUAGGACUUACUGUUUUUCACUAGCGCAGGUUGCCCAGGGAGGCUGUGGAGUCUUCUUCCUUCAAGUUGCUCAAAAGCCACUUGGAUGUGGCUCUUGGACACGGGACAGCUUGCUGUUUGAGCAGGGGUUGGGCCAGAGGUCGCUUCCCACCUCAGCCAUGCUGUGAUUCUGUACUUAAGGGGGAAAACUGGAUAUCUGAAGAGGAAUUAAUGCCUCCACACCUGAAAUCCCCUUUGCCAGGAGAACAGAAACAGAUCCAUAGUCUCUUGGUGGAGAUGAUUUUGCAGGGCUGUGAUCCAAGCCAGAAGGCCGAGCAGGAGUCCACUUUCCAUGCACAAACUACCACCACAGAAAUGAUGUGCAAAAUGACUCAAGGUUUUUAAGGAUAUUUGCAGACCUUGUAGGCAGUGGGAUGGAGGCAGAAGAGACUGGGCAGCCCUCCCUUCUCUCCAAGUGGAAGUGGCCUAGCAGGCUGUUUUUAUCUCCAGGUACACAAAAGGAAAUUAAACAAUUAGAACGAAUAGCUUAGAGCUUCAGAGGGGAAGAAAUCACUAUUGGUUUGACAGGUCUGUAAGUGAAUUACUUAUUUAUGUAGCUCAAUAGAUUUAAUAUUAAUCACAGAUGAAAGACGCAAGUUAAACAUGCUUUGCAAACAUGCGUGUUGACUUCUUAUUUACCUGUGAGUGGCUCAGGCUAGCAUUGCUGCCGGUGCAGCCACAGAUAGGGAAGGCCAGGUAGCUGAAACGUGGAACAAGUGAAAGCAAACCAAAUUGCUUUUAGAAGAAGUUUCAAAUGAAUGCACUUUUGGAGCUGCUGUAAAAGAUAAAAGAAGGAGCUAAAAACUAUGGCUGGGAUUCACUUUCUGCAAGCAAUUGUACAUCUGAGCUUUGGGCAGCCCAGAGAAGCUGUGGAUGCCCCAUCCCUGGAAGUGUCAAGGCCAGGUUGGACGGGGCCCUGAGCAGCCCAAGCUGGUGGGGAGCAGCCCUGUCCACGGCAGGGGGUUGGAACUGGAUAAGCUUUAAGAUUCUUUCCAACCCAAGCCAUUCUAUGACUUGUGCUAGUCCGGGGACGCUAGCCAAGUCAAACAAGUUGACCUCCCAACCUUGUGGGGUUUCCUAUUCCUGUCCACAGCUGUCAUAGGUAAAAGCAGGCAGCAAGGGCUGUGGUUGUAAACAGCACCUUCUCAUUCUGUGCCUGAUAGUUCGCCUUGGUGCAACUUAACAAGUCUCCAGUCUCUCGUGUUGAAAGGAGUCAAUUGAAUUUUUAAAGCAUUGUGCACACAAGGGACAUCAGGUGGAAAAAUGCUCUUGGAAUCCACUAUCCCAUGACUAGAGCAGAGAAAAAAAAAAAAGAAAAAAGCUCUAGUUAAAGUUAAGCAGAAGAUAGGAGCUUUGGAGCAAAUUUUACACAUAGUAAAGUCUCUCUGGAAUAUGUCUAUGCAGUCUUCAAUUUAAAGAACCUAGGAUUUUUAAAUUUUUUUUCUGCUUUAUGUCUUUAAAGUAUCCGACUCUUCUUUUUUCAGACCUAGUCAAUAUCGUCAGCUAUCUGAAAGAACAUGCUUGUAAAACCGUGCAAAUACAUACAUAAAUAUAUAUAUUAAAAAAAAAAAAAGCUGCUGUGGUUUCAGGAUUAGAAAUGCUGCAUUUGGAACUAGAACUAAAUGCUUAUUUACAUGAGAGAGCAUGCUAGUUUCCAUCUACUGAGAAAAUAAUGUGCAUUAAACCCUACACAACUUAACAAUCCACUGAAUAAAACAGACUUUAUUGGAAAGAAGCAUCUGUGAUGUAAUGAACUACUUCUGUAUUAACCAAAAUAACCCAUUUUGAGGUUUACUGAAAGAGUAGCCAUUUUGGUAAUGACUUCUUUUUGUUGGUUUUAAAACUCCUUCAGGACUUCUCCUGAAGGACAUGCUGAACUAAUGCCCCAAGCAAGAGUGCAGCUGGAGGCUCGCCAUGCCCUACAAGAAGUGACAACACAACCACGGGUGGCAGGACCCCUCCCUUGGUUUUUGUGACCUUCAGUGGUGGAUGAAGGCUUCAGUUAAUGUUUGCAGCCUACAGAGGCCAUGAGCCCAGUGCCCCUGCCUGUUAGCUCACCAAGCAAAGGCAACAGAGUCAAAGUAGCGGAAGGCCUGUGCACGAUGGGGCCACGAUGCUGGCCUGGGUGAGCAGCUAGCACUAAUUUGAGCAGCCCAAAGGUCACAACUAUUUAUGCAGAUAAAAGGUCAGUGGCAAGCUGGCAGGUGGUUGUGGGCUAUCUUGGUACGUGCUGCACCCUGGGCACUGAUGUCUGCGUCUGGUUCACAGUUAGUUUGUCUUUCCACAUGGACUUUCAGGCCAGGCUCUGGCUGAAAUAAAACGCAAUAGGGAAAGAAAAAAGCAAGUUGAUGCUGUUGGGAACCAGCUGCAGUUUUUGUGGCUUGGGCUCAUCUGUAUCUAAAUCGAACCUUUUAAUCAUUAUUUAUAAAAGACAGCCAAAUUCUCAUUUGCUCAUUGUUUAGACAGCUCUUACAUGGACAACCUCCUGUGAAAGCAUGCAUGAUGGCAGAUAAGGGAAAAACUGAAUCAGGUGCUGGGGAUAUGCCCUGUUGAGAGGCAGCAUGUCCGGCCAGGAGCUCCAGCAGCAGUGAGCAUCUGCAUGGCAGGUACGUGGGGAGAAGUCACCUGAGAAGGGCAGGACCUUACAGCAUGGCGUGAAUUGCCAGAGCAGGUUCAGGUUAGUUGAAACAACGUCUAGGUGGGCGAAAAAGGGAAGCAGAUAUACCAUGUUUAGUCCAGUCAGAUUCUAUGCUAUAUUUGAAACUUUUAUAGUCAGUAAGUACCAGUGCUGCAUCCUCUGCUCUCAUUAGAAAGCAAAAAUGUUUUCAACCUUUGGUUCCAGGAAUUGUCUGUCUGCCUAUACCAAUUUUAAACAAAAUCCUUUAAUGUUCUCCUCUAAUUUGGUCCAAUACAGCCUGGUCUCCAAGACGAAAUAUGCAAAAUAUUUUGUGACAUUUCAUUCCCCAAACAAAAGGUAAUGGGAAAACAUCAUUAUAUUGAUUUGUUUUUCAUCACAGAGGUAUUUGGCAGCAUGCCCUAAUUAAGGUUGUAGCAGUAAUUUUAUUAUAAGCACUGCUUUGUCUCCCCUGGUAAUUUUUUAAUAGGAGUUAGCUAUUAUUCUGUUAUUUUGGUUUGCUAAUAAAGAAAAAAAUGUUACAAUGAAAGCCUCCUAAGUAGAAAGCAACCAAAGCUAGCUGUCAUCAGACCUGGAAAAGCAUUUCUUUUUUUCUGCCUUCCCAUCGGAACGGACAACCACUAAAUUCUUCCCUGACUGCUGUCUUCCUAGGCCUGCCCCCACACCCAGGGAAGUUUAAGCAGUGACUUGAGCACCACCUGCUCGGAUGUGUUUUGUCAAGACUGAUAUCUCCAUUAUACCCUUUCUUCACUUCAUAUUAGGCAGAUUAGCUAUAGGCAAACAGAAAUGAAUCUUCAGCAGUGGCACAGUCUGAUUAGUGAAGCAGUCUAAUUUGUAUGUGUUUUCCCACUGAAAAUGGCAAAAUUCCAGCCACUGAACGUUCAUGGGUAUUCUGCCCAUUGUGUUCAUGAAGGCAAAGAGUCUCCACAGGAGAUGAAGGUUUGACCCGAUGCCUGCAGAUAUGCUGCAUGCAACCCAAGUGUGAUGGCAUACUGGGUGGCCAUGCAGGACUUCCCUUCAAUGAAGCCUUCUGGCCUACACCUGCACCUGGAAGUGCAGGUCACUCAUACAGUCUCUCUCUCAGAUCUCUUUGAAGGAAAUCAAAAUAAGCCUUUGCAGAAACUGGAGAAAUCGGAAUGCACCCAGUCAUUUUCUGGAUUUAAUGCUACCUCUUGUUACUGUCUUCAGUCUCUGAAAAACAGAACUGUCCAGUAGGUAAUAACUGUUUGAUUACUGAUUAGCACGUUUCUGUCAUCUUGGAGCAAACACAUUUUUUAUGCUUUCCUUCCUAUUGAGGUAUUUCAGAAAACAAAAUAGAAAAAGCAAAAUCUAAUUCAUAAUUGAGUGUUAUGGGCCAUCAAUUCUUGUAUUUCAAGAACAUAGGCUGGAAAGGGGAGCGUCUGCUGCUCCUGCACAGGCUACCCUCCCACAUUCUGCAUCUCCAAGGAGAGACUGCUCCGGAAGUAUAAAGUGUAAUGAAGACCUACAGCUAUGUUUCCUUCAUAGGAGUCUUAAAAAUACUAUAGGCUUAUGGGCAAUGUUUCAUAGAAGGCCACAUAAAAUUGAAGCAGCUGUUUGGUUCAUUGUUUGUUUUUAAAGAAAGAAAGAAAGGAAGGAGGGGAGGAGAGGGGACGGGAGAUUGUGAGUCCCACCAGCUCUCUACUCAUACUCCCAGCCUAUAGCCUAUAACUAGAUCUCACAUCAUCCUCCUCCAUUCCUCAGUUUUGUCUGAGUGCACUCACCUACAUUUUUGGACUCCCCUGUCUUGUUUUGUUUUGGUGCUUGGUUACAGUCCAGUUAAAGUCUCCAGUAAAGCUCUAGGUCAUCUAAAUAAGCUUUACAACAUCCAGCCUCUAGUUGGGGAGCCAUGUAAUCCCAGCAGAGGAGCUCUGUAUCUGCUAACCACAGAAUUGAAUAGCUUUCUGAGGGGCUCUGAUGAUUCAUCACUGCUAGAGCUGCUUUG